rnacentral:snoRNA from 8 species
AUGCACUGUGUGUAAUAUGUGGGUUGCCACCUAAUGGCAUUCUGCUCUCAAAUCAGUGCAAGAGAAACCUCAGUUUGCAGAAGGGCCAAAUCAAACUAUUGGUUAUUCCCUUUCGAAGGCUGAGAACAGAC